UACGGGGGGGGCAAGCGUUGUUCGGAUUUACUGGGCGUAAAGGGCGCGUAGGCGGCGUGGUAAGUCGCUUGUGAAAUCUUUGGGCUUAACCCAGAGGCUGCAAGUGAUACUGCCGUGCUAGAGUGCGGAAGGGGCUAUUGGAAUUCUCGGUGUAGCGGUGAAAUGCGUAGAUAUCGAGAGGAAUAUCGGUGGCGAAGGCGGAUAGCUGGGCCGACACUGACGCUGAAGCGCGAAAGCUAGGGGAGCAAACAGG
rnacentral:rRNA from 1 species